AAGUCCUCAUGGCCCUUACGGGUAGGGCUACACACGUGCUACAAUGGCAGUGACAGUGGGAAGCAAGACCGCGAGGUGGAGCUAAUCCCCAAAAACUGUCUCAGUUCGGAUUGUCGUCUGCAACUCGACGGCAUGAAGGUGGAAUCGCUAUUAAUCGCCGAUCAGCAUGCCGCGGUGAAUACCUUCCCGGGCCUUGUACACACCGCCCGUCACAUCAU
rnacentral:rRNA from 14 species